ACACAACGAAAACUUCUACUGUACUUUAUGAAUUGUUGUAUAAUAGUAAAAUUCUGAGCACACGAAUUAUAAUAAAAUAUAUGAUAAAAAUAAAUUUUUUUUCUGUUUAAAACCAAUUAAUAUAUGCAAACAUACACACAUAUGUGCGUAUAUGAAAAGCAUACGUAAAAAGUAGGAAUUCUUAAUGAAAACAAAAGUAUGUGUGAACAAAAUAGAGACAUACAUAUAGAUAUGUAUAUAUCGACAAACCCCUAGCAAGGUGUCUAAUAAAUAAUCAUACAUGUGUAUAUAUAUGUAUAAAUGAUCGAAUUAAUCUUUGCAUAUAUCCAAAACACACCAAGCAACAUUACAUCAACACUUACCAUUAAGACGCGCCUUCUCCGGUCCUCUAUCGUUCAAAGAUGAAGUGGCCGUAAGGACAGCAUGCUCCAUAAGUGGUUGAUUACAAUCGUAAUCAGAGAAGUAAUCGCUAUAGGAAUCUGAAAACAAGCAAAAUUAUAAAAUUUACAUCAAGGAAAUAAAAUGUGAAAUAUGUAGUCUAGACCACAUAUAUAUUUUGACCCACAUUCAUAUAAACAAGUUUCCUUUUCUGGCACUUAUCCAGCUGAAGUUGUCAGUUAUUGUAAUUAAGUUUUCAUAGCUGCUAUUUUUGUUUAAUUAAAAGGAAUUGGACCAUGCUCUCAUAUUUCUCAUCUUGAAUAAAAAUAGCAAGAAGAAUUUAGUGUUUUUACUGCAACCUACAUACAAGCCAGUAAACUUUUGAUUUUGACAAGUAAGCAGGCACGUCAUGCUAUGCUCUUUUACUUUUCAUUUUAACAAGUAAACAGAAACGCCAUGCAAUGAGCCUACUAGCAACACCCUACCUUCGAUUGCGAAAUAAACCACCCUUUGUUGUUGAGUGGUGCUGACAAUCUGGCUGUCGCCGUGCCUGUGUAUACUGUUUGGUUUAUUUUGUGCUCAUGCAGCCUUAUCCUGGCUAAGUGCCACUACUGAAGUAAGACUAACCAAAGUAUAAUGCAACAAUUUUUAUAUGUACGUGGGACUUAAGCUUUAUUUACUGUUGAAUUUCACUAAACUAGUACCU